rnacentral:tRNA from 1 species
ACACAUAUCAUCUAAUGGCAAGACAUUCGAUUUCCACUCGAAUAAUGAAAGUCCGACUCUUUCUAUGUGUU